AUUCAAUAAGCGGAGGAAAAGAAACCAACAGGGAUUGCCCUAGUAACGGCGAGUGAAGCGGCAACAGCUCAAAUUUGAAAUCUGGCUCUUUUAGAGUCCGAGUUGUAAUUUGCAGAGGGCGCUUUGGCUUUGGCAGCGGUCCAAGUUCCUUGGAACAGGACGUCACAGAGGGUGAGAAUCCCGUACGUGGUCGCUGGCUAUUGCCGUGUAAAGCCCCUUCGACGAGUCGAGUUGUUUGGGAAUGCAGCUCUAAAUGGGAGGUACAUUUCUUCUAAAGCUAAAUAUUGGCCAGAGACCGAUAGCGCACAAGUAGAGUGAUCGAAAGAUGAAAAGCACUUUGGAAAGAGAGUCAAACAGCACGUGAAAUUGUUGAAAGGGAAGCGCUUGCAGCCAGACUUGCUUACAGUUGCUCAUCCGGGUUUCUACCCGGUGCACUCUUCUGUAGGCAGGCCAGCAUCAGUUUGGGCGGUAGGAUAAAGGUCUCUGUCACGUACCUCCUUUCGGGGAGGCCUUAUAGGGGAGACGACAUACUACCAGCCUGGACUGAGGUCCGCGCAUCUGCUAGGAUGCUGGCGUAAUGGCUGUAAGCGGCCCGUCUUGAAACACGGACCAAGGAGUCUAACAUCUAUGCGAGUGUUUGGGUGUCAAGCCCGAGCGCGUAAUGAAAGUGAACGGAGGUGGGAACCCGCAAGGGUGCACCAUCGACCGAUCCUGAUGUCUUCGGAAGGAUUUGAGUAAGAGCAUGGCUGUUGGGACCCGAAAGAUGGUGAACUAUGCUUGAAUAGGGUGAAGCCAGAGGAAACUCUGGUGGAGGCUCGCAGCGGUUCUGACGUGCAAAUCGAUCGUCAAAUUUGGGCAUAGGGGCGAAAGACUAAUCGAACUAUCUAGUAGCUGGUCUGCA
rnacentral:rRNA from 1 species